ensembl:lncRNA
CGAAAAAACCGCUCUCACACGCUCAACACGCCACACUCGCUCCACUACCGCGCAUGCGCAGAGAGAGAGGUGUCUGAAACAUGUAUGUAUGGGCGGGGUUUAGAGAGAGAGAGAGGUGUGUCUGAAACAUGUAUGUAUGGGCGGGGUUUAGAGAGAGAGAGAGAGGUGUGUCUGAAACAUGUAUGUAUGGGCGGGGUUUAGAGAGAGAGAGAGAGAGAGAGAGGUGUGUCUGAAACAUGUAUGUAUGGGCGGGGUUUAGAGAGAGAGAGAGAGAGAGGUGUGUCUGAAACAUGUAUGUAUGGGCGGGG